GAAGCCCGCCAGGCCGCCGCUGGUGCAAUCUGAAAAGACGACGCUUGCGUCGGGCCGAAAGGCCGCACUGGAGGAACGUCCGGACUGCACAGGGCAGCGUAGGAGCUAACGGCUCUCCACCGCGAGGUGAGGAUCAGAGCAACAGAGACGAGUCCCGGGGGAGUGCCGCAAGGCAGACCACCGGGGGUGAAACGGGCAAUCUCUACGCGCAGCAAUACCAAAUAGGCCAGUGAUGAUGUGGCUCCGCGGAGCUGGCGGGUAGGUAGCACCGAGCCGUCUGGCGACAGACGGCCCAGAGGAAUGGCGGUCACACCGGGGGCGACCCCGGUGCACAGAAUCCGGCGUAUCGGCGGGCUUCACAC
rnacentral:RNase_P_RNA from 2 species